GACGAACGCUGGCGGCGUGCCUAAUACAUGCAAGUCGAGCGGACGGAUGGGAGCUUGCUCCCAGACCGUCAGCGGCGGACGGGUGAGUAACACGUGGGCAACCUGCCUGUAAGACUGGGAUAACUCCGGGAAACCGGGGCUAAUACCGGAUAACUCUUUCCCUCACAUGAGGGAAAGCUGAAAGAUGGCAUCUCGCUAUCACUUACAGAAGGGCCCGCGGCGCAUUAGCUAGUUGGUGAGGUAACGGCUCACCAAGGCGACGAUGCGUAGCCGACCUGAGAGGGUGAUCGGCCACACUGGGACUGAGACACGGCCCAGACUCCUACGGGAGGCAGCAGUAGGGAAUCUUCCGCAAUGGACGAAAGUCUGACGGAGCAACGCCGCGUGAGUGAUGAAGGUUUUCGGAUCGUAAAACUCUGUUGUCAGGGAAGAACAAGUACCGGAGUAACUGCCGGUACCUUGACGGUACCUGACCAGAAAGCCACGGCUAACUACGUG
rnacentral:rRNA from 1 species